CCUACGGGAGGCAGCAGUGGGGAAUUUUGGACAAUGGGCGCAAGCCUGAUCCAGCCAUGCCGCGUGUGUGAAGAAGGCCUUCGGGUUGUAAAGCACUUUCGGACGGAACGAAAUCGCGCGGGUUAACAGCCCGCGUGGAUGACGGUACCGUAAGAAGAAGCACCGGCUAACUACGUGCCAGCAGCCGCGGUAAUACGUAGGGUGCGAGCGUUAAUCGGAAUUACUGGGCGUAAAGUGUGCGUAGGCGGCGUCGCAAGUCGAGUGUGAAAGCCCCGGGCUUAACUUGGGAAUUGCGCUCGAAACUACGGUGCUCGAGUGUGGCAGAGGGAGGUGGAAUUCCACGUGUAGCGGUGAAAUGCGUAGAGAUGUGGAGGAACACCAAUGGCGAAGGCAGCCUCCUGGGCCAACACUGACGCUCAUGCACGAAAGCGUGGGGAGC
rnacentral:rRNA from 1 species